rnacentral:rRNA from 1 species
AUUGAACGCUGGCGGCAUGCCUUACACAUGCAAGUCGAACGGUAACAGGUCUUCGGACGCUGACGAAUGGCGAACGGGUGAGUAAUACAUCGGAACGUGCCCAGUCGUGGGGAAUAACUACUCGAAAGAGUAGCUAAUACCGCAUACGAUCUGAGGAUGAAAGCGGGGGACCUUCGGGCCUCGCGCGAUUGGAGCGGCCGAUGGCAGAUUAGGUAGUUGGUGGGAUAAAAGCUUACCAAGCCGACGAUCUGUAGCUGGUCUGAGAGGACGACCAGCCACACUGGGACUGAGACACGGCCCAGACUCCUACGGGAGGCAGCAGUGGGGAAUUUUGGACAAUGGGCGAAAGCCUGAUCCAGCAAUGCCGCGUGCAGGAUGAAGGCCUUCGGGUUGUAAACUGCUUUUGUACGGAACGAAAAAGCUCCUUCUAAUACAGGGGGCCCAUGACGGUACCGUAAGAAUAAGCACCGGCUAACUACGUGCCAGCAGCCGCCGCGG